AGUCCAUGACGUGGGCAAAUCCUCAACAUGUCCUUGUAUCUCUCCCAAGCUUCAAAAAGAGAUUUGUUGUCUUUUUGCCUAAUUCCGUUGAUUUGACUUCUUAGCAU